UAUCUGUAGGCAUUGAAGGAUGUGGGAAAAAUUCUCCAUUAUUUUGUCCCUCUAUCGCAUGAGAGCUUGCUCAAGCAAAAUAUUAAUAGAAUCAUCUGCUCUAUCAUUUUUCUUUUCUUCCACCAUGGAGGGUUUCUUGGGCAUGCGAGAGUGAUUUUCCUCAAGAGAGACAAGCUAGAGACUCAACUUUCUAGGGGUUAAUGUGUUAGUAAUCACCUAACCUAGACCUUGAAUAUACACCCCCUAAACUUCUAAAUCAUCGACCCAUAACCCAUAACCCUUCUAAAUAUGCAAUGUGAUUUAUUUCCAUUGCUCUACAUGUCAAAGUGAAUAAAUUCAACCAAGCGCAGGUAAAUGACGAGAGUAAUUAUGAAUCUCUUAAGGUAUCAAUAUUCCUCGUCACAUAAUUAGUGACGUGCAUGAAUGGAUUAAUGAGAUUCCCACUGUCCCUAGAUACUAUAUGGAGAAACCACAUCCAAGGGAAUGGGCUUGGUAUAAUUAGCAGGGAAAGAAGACCCUGUUGAGCUUGACUCUAGUCCUAACCCAUUCAUAGUUUGGGA
rnacentral:ncRNA from 1 species